rnacentral:rRNA from 1 species
CCUGCCUCAAAGAGGGGGACAACAGUUGGAAACGACUGCUAAUACCGCAUAAGCCCACGGCUCGGCAUCGAGCAGGGGGAAAAGGAGCAAUCCGCUUUGAGAUGGCCUCGCGUCUGAUUAGCUAGUUGGUGAGGUAACGGCCCACCAAGGCGACGAUCGGUAGCCGGACUGAGAGGUUGAACGGCCACAUUGGGACUGAGACACGGCCCAGACUCCUACGGGAGGCAGCAGUGGGGAAUAUUGCACAAUGGGGGGAACCCUGAUGCAGCGACGCCGCGUGGAGGAAGAAGGUCUUCGGAUUGUAAACUCCUGUUGUUGAGGAAGAUAAUGACGGUACUCAACAAGGAAGUGACGGCUAACUACGUGCCAGCAGCCGCGGUAAAACGUAGGUCACAAGCGUUGUCCGGAAUUACUGGGUGUAAAGGGAGCGCAGGCGGGAGAACAAGUUGGAAGUGAAAUCCAUGGGCUCAACCCAUGAACUGCUUUCAAAACUGUUUUUCUUGAGUAGUGCAGAGGUAGGUGGAAUUCCCGGUGUAGCGGUGGAAUGCGUAGAUAUCGGGAGGAACACCAGUGGCGAAGGCGGCCUACUGGGCACCAACUGACGCUGAGGCUCGAAAGUGUGGGUAGCAAACAGGAUUAGAUACCCUGGUAGUCCACACCGUAAACGAUGAUUACUAGGUGUUGGAGGAUUGACCCCUUCAGUGCCGCAGUUAACACAAUAAGUAAUCCACCUGGGGAGUA